UUAAAUCAUCAUAACAUGCUUUAUAUAAAGACAAUAUCGAUUCCAUUUCUGGACUACGCAGAUAAUGUGCAUACUGCAUGACACCCACAAGAGCACACAUAUACAUGUAGCACUAGCUAUUGAAAUAAACAUUGCCAAAAUACAAUGGAAGCUGCGUGUGAUAGUAUCCUGGACCUAGACUUGAAGAUUGAUGUCGAUUAUGACGUUGAGGACGUAUUGAAGGUUCUUGCAGAGGUCAAAUCCGAAUGGAGAACCGGGGAUAUAACUUUGCAAUCACUGGGCGGUGGCUUUGUGAAUCGGCUUCUUUUAUGUCGUGACCCCUCCGAUACCGAAAACCCAGGAGUUAUGGUCAGAAUCUUCGGCGAAUCGUUUUCGUUGCUUCAUGAUAGACAGAAAGAAAAGGAAUGCACGGCAUUAUUAUCCAGAUUGGGACUAGGACCGAAGUUACUGUGUAGCUUCAAAACAGGUUUAUGUUACGAUUUCCUAAAUGGUCGAACUUUUGAAUGGGAUUGUGAUGAUCACAAAGCUAAAUACCUCGUUGACCUCAUCAUUGAUGAAAUGUUGAGAUGGCACGACCCACGUGUCCAGCAAGCAGCCAUAAACUCAGGACUUGAUACCUGGAUUAACAAGCCUGUUAUGUAUAUGUACAAGCUACUGCAGGACUGGCCGAAGGACUUUCCUGAUUUGGAUCAAGAUUUAAGUUAAGUUUUGAAAUAUCUUCAUAUACAUGUACAUGUAAGAAAGCAUUCACAUUUUCAAUUUCAGCAAAUAGACUAAAUAAAAGAUUAUAAUGCAGGAUUUUACCGCAUGCAAAACCUAAAACAUUUAAAAACAAUACUCCAUCAGGUAAGUAAGUGGCUGUAACUAGUGAUCUGAGAAGCUGGUUCCUCUUCAUAUAACUCUCUAGAAAGCUUAUUCAGCGAGGGGUCCCCUCUUUUUUUUGGGGGGGGGGGGGGGUUAGCACUUGAUUAAUUGAAGGAUGAUUUUAAAGAUUUUAAAGAUUGUAUGACUGUCCCUUUCCAGGUUUCGUUCGAGAAUACCUACCUACGAGACACUUCUUGAAGAAGUUAAGAAUAUAGAGAAGAUAUGGGUCAAGCUGCACAUGAAGCCUGUAUUCUGCCAUAACGAUAUCAAUAUUACGAACUUGGUAUAUCAGUCUGGAAACGAUCGUGUCAUUUUCCUGGACUAUGAAUGGGCCGGAUUCAGCUCAGUGGCAUAUGAAAUUGGCUACCACCUUGCCUCAGUUCACUCUGGAACUGCUAAGGAUCUGACCGGUUUAAUGCCUACAGAUUCAUACGUCAGAGAGUGGGUAAGCAAGUACCUCAGGAAAAAGGCACAGAUUACGGGCAGUGGUGAAAUGGUUUCCGAAUAUGCUAUCAGUAAAUUAGUCCAUGAAGUGGAUGUACUAAUGCCGAUAACUGUCUUUUUAGUGGCCUUGAUUUGUAUUCGUUUGGCCUCGUUACCGGAAAAGGAAGACAAACUUGGUUUUGAUUAUAUCGGUAAUGGAGCUGCACGAUUCGACUACUACUUCAAGUCCAAGAAGGAACCCUGAUGAAGGGAAACAUUAGAGAGACUGCAAACACAUGAGACUCUCACUGCAGCUGCUGAACAAAAGUAGUCUAAUGAUUAGUAUGCUUUCGAUUAAACUUUACUUUAUAAUUUUUUAAAGAUCAGCACAGAUUUGACAAAAGUUGGAAACUCACCAUCUCCGAAUUGUGUAUGUUCACCGCAUAUCGGCAUGGAAAUGAACGCUAAAUAAACAGGUAAUCUACAGCUCAGUCUGUUUUUGCAGCGUGGGAGUUGUCUAGACCGUUUUUGCCAAUUCCAAUGAUUUUUUUUCCAGGAUGAACAUUUCUGCACACCUUGUGUCGCGACUAAGCAUGCUUUUAAAAUGAAAUAACUUGACGCUUUUCUUGGAAAGAUGCCACCAGUCUGCUUCCUCUCAACAGUCCACGUUUAACCGACUUCCAAAAGUUCGGUACAUAAGCGUUUUAUUAAAAUGCGGUUCAAAGAAUAAAUCAUUUUCAUUUGAUACGAGAGCUGACCUAUGCCAUGUCCUUCGAAUCAAAUGGUAGCUGGCCUCGGCUGUUGGGGACUGGUUGUUUUUACGAAGCAGAGAAUACUUGAAACUGGGUGUUUCUCACUGACUGUCGUUUUCGGCCAAAUCAACAAAUUGGCGGCCUGCGGUACACACUUUUCUAGGAAAGACGCCCCUACAGUUUUCUUCUUUUCAUCAGCAUCAGGUAACCGCAGUUUUCGAGAUUGGAGAAAAGAGAAAAAUGUCCUUUUUUGGAAUGACAUGUGAAGUCCAAUUCAAGAGAAAGUGGAAAUAAUUACCUGAUGUAGCCACUUUGUAGAGUUUACGUAGCCCUUUACCCAGUCUUCUUUUUCUUGGAGAUAACAGAAGCUGAUGAGACGAAGCAGACUGUGGUGGUGUCUUUUCUAGAGUGAUGAAGUACGGCAGGCUGUCAAGAUGUUUAUUCGGUAGAAAAUGACAGUCAGUGAAGAACUCCCCUGGCCAGUUUCCAGUAUUAUUUGCUUGGUUAAAUAACCAGGCCAAGCAGCCGAAGACACGAAGGAUAUGGCAUUGCUCAACUCUCUUUCCAAAUGAAAAUGACAUAUUCUAUUGUAACAAAAUUAACCUUUAGCUCCUUCGUUUCGUCUUCGGACCUGUUUAAGUCCGCAUUGUACAUACAACCGCUGUGCCGUCAGUACUCGUUCUCCGGGUUUGCAUUUUAUGUGUACCUAGAAGAUUUUUACCGGAGCAGAUUUUCGUGUUUGAAGACAAUUUUACACAAAACUGUGUGGUGUUAGAUCAUCAAACUUUGGAGAGACCUUUGUCUCCUUAGGACCAAUUUAUCUAGAGCUUCCUGGUAAGUUUAUAAGUAACUGUGUAUUUGUAAUAAGUGUUUUUAUGGGUGCAAUUUCGGACUUUUGUAAAUUUGUCCGCCAUGUUUGAUGACGUCAUUCUCAUCAAUUUGUUUGGAAGCUGGACCUUUGUUUUCACGUGUUGUAAGUUUUAAAGUGGUUCAAAAGCAGGAUAUUUUGAGCAUAAAGUGUUUUAAAGUGUUUCAUGUGGUAAAACUAUGUUUAUAGCAUCUGGGGAUGUCGAUUUCAAAGCUCUGGAUUUUGAAGUGUGGUCACAAAUUGUGCCUAAAGUUGGUGCAUCUUUCAAAACUUCGAGCAUCUUUCAAGGAUCGUGAAUUAUCUGGGGACGGGGUAGCCCGUGGAAGGACCCCGUAGGGGGUAUAAAAGCUCAUGUAAGCCUCAAAACAAUCAGAUUGCCUGCACACCAGGCCCAAUUACACCAAUUACAUCAAUUAGACCAAUUAGCCAACUAGCGGUUCUCCUAGUAGAACUCUUACUAGUACACUGAGAAUUAUCAUUUAGGUAAGGUUAGUACUGUCUUACAUUCUGUCAGAUUCUUCACGCACAUGUUCAUGCAUUGUGUAGCUUGCUAAAAGCAGCGCUGGUUAUCCAUGAGGAUAAAUGUACUUUGAUUAAUCUAUAGACAAAGCAAAGGCAGUACCCUUGAUCUUUUUGGUUGUACCAACUCCAAAUUGACUUGAGUCAGCUCCUAAACCCGGAGGGUUAUAUUUGAGCAAUCCUAUCUAAUCUAUUGGUAUUUCUAGGGAGGUAAACAAUCAAUUCUAAAGAUGCCAGAACCUUCGGUUCCCCUGAAUGCACCAAGUGUGCACAUAUAUCCAGAUGAUAUCAUCAUCAUUGGCACUUUUAUAGAACUAGAAGAUCUAGUUGAGUUUUUGGACGAGUUAAUUGAACUCUUAGUCCGUCUUAUAGAAGGCGAAGAUAUUGACAUGAGUCAAUAUCCUACUCUCAACCAGUUACUGUAAAUAUGAGAUUGUUUGGGGAGUGUUUUAAUCAGACCAAGCGCUGAUUGCUGUGUUUAAAGAGUUCCAUGUUGUGUCAUUGUAUUUGUGUAGUUGUAAAUAGUUGUAAAAGUUGAAGUCAAGUGUUGAUAUUAAAAAAAAAUCUA